rnacentral:rRNA from 1 species
UACGUAGGGGGCAAGCGUUGUCCGGAUUUAUUGGGCGUAAAGAGCUCGUAGGUGGUUCGGUAAGUCGGAUGUGAAAUCUCCAGGCUCAACCUGGAGGGGUCAUUCGAUACUGCCGUGACUCGAGUCCGGUAGGGGAGUGUGGAAUUCCCGGUGUAGCGGUGAAAUGCGCAGAUAUCGGGAGGAACACCAGUGGCGAAGGCGGCACUCUGGGCCGGUACUGACGCUGAGGAGCGAAAGCGUGGGGAGCGAACAGG